rnacentral:lncRNA from 1 species
CACCUGCGAUCGUUCUAUUAUCAUAUUUCUUCCAAUAGAUGUUGCAUCAAACAUUAACUAUAUUUAUCUUUACGGGGAAGGACCUCUUCCAUGGAUCAAUGGUCCCUUUCUGGAUCGUUUUAAGUACCAAACUAGCAUAAUGUUUUCUGCUUUUUGACAAGUUAAACAAGAUUUUAGUAAUACAACUGCACCUGCCCAGCAUAGCUGUGGAAUAGAAGAAAAUGAGUAUAUUAAUAUUGGAAAUCAAGGAAGUUCAGACAAGCACUAAAAUGACUAAGGAAAUUCAAUAUUAACUAAUGCAUUUCAUUUCACGUGUUACUUGACAAUAAUCUUCUCACUUUUUCUCUAUUUUAGCACUUACGGGAACAAUGAACAGGGGAAGAAAUCCACACAAGUUGGAAGUUAUUGUUGAAUAGCUCAUCAAACAUUCUUUUUGGUUACACAUUCAAGGCUUAUCUCUUACACUUUUGUCAAAGAUUAACCCUUUUCUAUCUUAAUCCUUACUUGAGGAUUGAACUGGUUCAAUUCUUACCUUUAUUUGAAGAGGUAACCAGUCAAGUCCCCCUCUUUGCAACUUUUUAUCAUAUUCUAACAAUUAUACCAAAAUGAUUGUUUACAUUUUAAAAAAAUGAUAAUUUUCCUGCAGUACUUAAGAUCAGAAAUUUGUUGAUAUAAAGGAAACUUACUCUUGGUUUCCGGUCAAUCACCAACGUCUCAAGAUCUAUAGAAAGCUGUCAAAUCCAGGGAAGUCCAACAGUACUAUGGCUGUAUUAAGUAGUAAAACUUUCCGGCAAGAUGGUGGAGACCACCACCCUUUCAACACUAGUAUAGACAGGCACUUAUAAACCAAAUAUGUCAAAACAAAGAAAUGCAGCAUACUUAACAAAUGCCAUGAAAAUUGUGGAUACUUUGUAAAUGCAACUUGGACUAUAAGACCGUCUUUUGUCACAUAAGUGUUCUAGGUUGGUUUGAAAAUUCAAAGAUGACGUUUUCUUUUAAUGAGGAAAAAG